rnacentral:rRNA from 1 species
UACGUAGGGUGCAAGCGUUGUCCGGAUUCAUUGGGCGUAAAGGGUGCGUAGGCGGCGCGGUAAGUCGGGUGUGAAAUCUCGGGGCUUAACUCCGAAACUGCAUUCGAUACUGCCGUGCUUGAGGACUGGAGAGGAGACUGGAAUUUACGGUGUAGCGGUGAAAUGCGUAGAUAUCGUAAGGAAGACCAGUGGCGAAGGCGGGUCUCUGGACAGUUCCUGACGCUGAGGCACGAAGGCCAGGGGAGCAAACGGG